AGGGCUGUUUCACCUUGGGAGACACGCCAUGGAAUGAUGAAUACAAUAUGAAUAAUCCACCAGACGCUGGGGCACCAUGCUGUUGGAUUUCCCAACAUUCAGAACUGAGAGACUCGUUUUGCUUAUGGGCUAAGGGAAAACUUCCCAUGGAGAGAAAGGGAUUGAAGAUACAGAAAAAAGAGAAUCAUUAAUGGAGGAAGUUUCCAGAAAAGCCUGAAGAUCUUGUAAAUCUAUACCCUAAGUGAAAGGAUUCGCUUUGGAGGGAAGCAACGUCAUUUUCAUCCUUGGAUAUCUAAUGGGUGGAGAUUACUCAAAAAAAUGGCUCUGAAAUAGAUCGUUUUCAACAAUGGCCACAACAAUUUCUAUCAUCAUCGUUGGUGCAUUCCUUUGCAAUGUGACUCUAUUGCCUUUGCCAUUCAGAAGCAGAGUUGUUUUCUUUUUUUCCCCCUCUUCAAUUUGGUCUGAACUUGUAACUUGUUUUGAUGAAUAGAACUCUACAGAUAUGGUAUGACUUCUUUUGAUUUUUUAUUUUUUUUGAGAUGGAGUCUCACUCUGGUCCAGACUGGAGUGCAGUGGCACGAUCUCGGCUCACUGCAAUCUCUGCCUCCCAGGUUCAAGUGAUUCUUCUGCCUCAGCCUGUAGCUGGGACUACAGGCACGCACCACCACGCCCGGAUAAUUUUUGUAUUUUCAGUAGAGACGGGGUUUCACCAUGUUGGUCAGGCUGGUCUCGAACUCCUGACCUCAUGAUCCACCCACCUCGGCCUCCCAAAGUGCUGGGAUUACAAGUGUGAGCCACCAUGCCUGGCCAGAUAUGGUGUGACUUCUGAGCCUCAGCCUCAUGAAGCCUUGUAGCUUCUGCUCUCACUGCCUUGCUGCCCUGGUCCUGCUAUGUGUAGAAGCCAAGCCUAGUCUUGAGGAUGGGAAAUGAUGUGGGGUGAGAGGCCCCACCCAUGGCCAGCACCAACAUCACACAUGUGAGCAAGGCCAUCUUGGAUCAUCUCAUACCAGUCAAGCUUCUUGAUGGCUGCCAGUACAUGAAGAAUCCCAGAUGAAAAAACUGGGAAUCAGAGAAGUUAAGAAAUAAGCUCAAGAUCACCUAUAUAGUAAACGGCAAAAUCAGGAUCUGAACCUGCUGAUUCCAGAGCUCAUGGAGAGUUCCAGUGGGCAACUUGGGAAAAGGAGGAAGCAUGAGAGAGGAGAUGAUCAGCUUGCUACACUAAAAGCCGCUUCAGCAAACUGCUGUGUACUCUACUGGAUAUUAACAGAUAGAGAGGUAUAUGGAGACAACCUUUUGAAUGAGGGUUUUAUGAUCUGCUUGGAAGUGAAGGAUGAGGGGAAGUUACCAGCUCAUAAAGUUCCUGAAGAUGGAUAAUUUUUUCUCAUGAGCUUCCAGGAGCUGGUGUCAGCACACCACUGUUUGUCUGAUGAGUGAGUAACACUUCCUGGAGAAGGUGAAACCUCAAGUGAGUCUUAACAGGUAAGUAGGAAUCAGCUGCUCGAUGGUCUUGUGGAUGGAAAAGAAGAUAAACGCUAAAGCAAAGUGGCUAGAUAACGGCGAGGGAAAGGCAAUGUGUGGAUGGAAAUAUAAGCAGGUUUGUAUUUGCUGAGAUGAAAUUCUCAGAAAGCAAAGGCGUGAUAAAAAAAAGAUCCUGCAAACUGCAUCAAGGAACUUAGAAUUUAUCCUAUAGGCCAUGAGGAGCUGUUGGAGGAUUUAAAGCAGGAGAGUGAAUUAUUUAGAUUUAUGGCUGAAGCAUGAUCUUCUGGCCAAGCCUUGUAGAAUGAACAUGAGAAGGAGCAAGACUUAAGACACAAAAACCAGUUGGGAAGCUGUUGCAGUGCUUUAGAGAAGUGAUGAU
rnacentral:lncRNA from 1 species